UUAAGCGACUAAGCGUACACGGUGGAUGCCCUGGCAGUCAGAGGCGAUGAAGGACGUGCUAAUCUGCGAAAAGCGUCGGUAAGGUGAUAUGAACCGUUACAGCCGGCGAUGUCCGAAUGGGGAAACCCAGUGCAAUUCGUUGCACUAUCGUUAACUGAAUACAUAGGUUAACGAGGCGAACCGGGGGAACUGAAACAUCUAAGUACCCCGAGGAAAAGAAAUCAACCGAGAUUCCCCCAGUAGCGGCGAGCGAACGGGGAGCAGCCCAGAGUUUGAAUCAGCUUGUGUGUUAGUGGAACGGUCUGGAAAGUCCGACGGUACAGGGUGAUAGUCCCGUACACCAAAAUGCACAGGCUGUGAACUCGAAGAGUAGGGCGGGACACGUGGUAUCCUGUCUGAAUAUGGGGGGACCAUCCUCCAAGGCUAAAUACUCCUGACUGACCGAUAGUGAACCAGUACCGUGAGGGAAAGGCGAAAAGAACCCCGGCGAGGGGAGUGAAAAAGAACCUGAAACCGUGUACGUACAAGCAGUGGGAGCACCUUCGGGUGUGACUGCGUACCUUUUGUAUAAUGGGUCAGCGACUUAUAUUCUGUAGCAAGGUUAACCGUAUAGGGGAGCCGCAGGGAAACCGAGUCUUAACUGGGCGUUAAGUUGCAGGGUAUAGACCCGAAACCCGGUGAUCUAGCCAUGGGCAGGUUGAAGGUUGGGUAACACUAACUGGAGGACCGAACCGACUAAUGUUGAAAAAUUAGCGGAUGACUUGUGGCUGGGGGUGAAAGGCCAAUCAAACCGGGAGAUAGCUGGUUCUCCCCGAAAGCUAUUUAGGUAGCGCCUCGUGAAUUCAUCUUCGGGGGUAGAGCACUGUUUCGGCUAGGGGGUCAUCCCGACUUACCAACCCGAUGCAAACUACGAAUACCGAAGAAUGUUAUCACGGGAGACACACGGCGGGUGCUAACGUCCGUCGUGAAGAGGGAAACAACCCAGACCGCCAGCUAAGGUCCCAAAGUCAUGGUUAAGUGGGAAACGAUGUGGGAAGGCACAGACAGCCAGGAUGUUGGCUUAGAAGCAGCCAUCAUUUAAAGAAAGCGUAAUAGCUCACUGGUCGAGUCGGCCUGCGCGGAAGAUGUAACGGGGCUAAACCAUGCACCGAAGCUGCGGCAGCGACACUAUGUGUUGUUGGGUAGGGGAGCGUUCUGUAAGCCUGCGAAGGUGACCUGUGAGGGUUGCUGGAGGUAUCAGAAGUGCGAAUGCUGACAUAAGUAACGAUAAAGCGGGUGAAAAGCCCGCUCGCCGGAAGACCAAGGGUUCCUGUCCAACGUUAAUCGGGGCAGGGUGAGUCGACCCCUAAGGCGAGGCCGAAAGGCGUAGUCGAUGGGAAACAGGUUAAUAUUCCUGUACUUGGUGUUACUGCGAAGGGGGGACGGAGAAGGCUAUGUUAGCCGGGCGACGGUUGUCCCGGUUUAAGCAUGUAGGCUGAUUAUCCAGGCAAAUCCGGAUAAUCAAGGCUGAGGUGUGAUGACGAGGCACUACGGUGCUGAAGUAACAAAUGCCCUGCUUCCAGGAAAAGCCUCUAAGCAUCAGGUAACAUUAAAUCGUACCCCAAACCGACACAGGUGGUCAGGUAGAGAAUACCAAGGCGCUUGAGAGAACUCGGGUGAAGGAACUAGGCAAAAUGGUGCCGUAACUUCGGGAGAAGGCACGCUGGUGUGUAGGUGAAGUCCCUGCGGAUGGAGCUGAGACCAGUCGAAGAUACCAGCUGGCUGCAACUGUUUAUUAAAAACACAGCACUGUGCAAACACGAAAGUGGACGUAUACGGUGUGACGCCUGCCCGGUGCCGGAAGGUUAAUUGAUGGGGUUAUCCGUAAGGAGAAGCUCUUGAUCGAAGCCCCGGUAAACGGCGGCCGUAACUAUAACGGUCCUAAGGUAGCGAAAUUCCUUGUCGGGUAAGUUCCGACCUGCACGAAUGGCGUAAUGAUGGCCAGGCUGUCUCCACCCGAGACUCAGUGAAAUUGAACUCGCUGUGAAGAUGCAGUGUACCCGCGGCAAGACGGAAAGACCCCGUGAACCUUUACUAUAGCUUGACACUGAACAUUGAGCCUUGAUGUGUAGGAUAGGUGGGAGGCUUUGAAGCGUGGACGCCAGUCUGCGUGGAGCCAACCUUGAAAUACCACCCUUUAAUGUUUGAUGUUCUAACGUUGGCCCCUGACCGGGGUUGCGGACAGUGUCUGGUGGGUAGUUUGACUGGGGCGGUCUCCUCCCAAAGCGUAACGGAGGAGCACGAAGGUUAGCUAAUCCUGGUCGGACAUCAGGAGGUUAGUGCAAUGGCAUAAGCUAGCUUGACUGCGAGCGUGACGGCGCGAGCAGGUGCGAAAGCAGGUCAUAGUGAUCCGGUGGUUCUGAAUGGAAGGGCCAUCGCUCAACGGAUAAAAGGUACUCCGGGGAUAACAGGCUGAUACCGCCCAAGAGUUCAUAUCGACGGCGGUGUUUGGCACCUCGAUGUCGGCUCAUCACAUCCUGGGGCUGAAGUAGGUCCCAAGGGUAUGGCUGUUCGCCAUUUAAAGUGGUACGCGAGCUGGGUUUAGAACGUCGUGAGACAGUUCGGUCCCUAUCUGCCGUGGGCGCUGGAGAAUUGAGGGGGGCUGCUCCUAGUACGAGAGGACCGGAGUGGACGCAUCACUGGUGUUCGGGUUGUCAUGCCAAUGGCACUGCCCGGUAGCUAAAUGCGGAAGAGAUAAGUGCUGAAAGCAUCUAAGCACGAAACUUGCCCCGAGAUGAGUUCUCCCUGAGACUUUAAGUCUCCUGAAGGAACGUUAAAGACGAUGACGUUGAUAGGCCGGGUGUGUAAGCGCAGCGAUGCGUUGAGCUAACCGGUACUAAUGAACCGUGAGGCUUAACCUU
rnacentral:rRNA from 1 species